AUAGCUCAGUGGCAGAGCACAUGCUUAACAUGCAUGAGGUCCUGGGUUCAAUCCUCAGU
rnacentral:tRNA from 1 species